AUGUUAGGGCCGCUCUUCCCGGAGUCCCGCCUACAGGCACGACCCCGUCCCUUCCUCUCCCGGGUGCCCCAGUCAGCGGUCAUCCCCGCUCGUGUCCCAGGCCGGUCAGGGCUCCACCACAGCUCCGCCGCGGCGGGUAGGAGUGCCCCGCCCACAGCGCCAGAGGCUCCGCCCACCGGGCCGCGCCCUCCCCCACUCCGCUCACCCCUGGGUCCUCCUGGCUGCAGGCGUCCGACAUUGGCUCGGGGUCGCUCCAUCCACCUAGGGGAGGUACCGCUGUGUCCUGCGCGCAGCGAGGCUGAGGGGCUGGCGCUUUGCAGGCUGCACCAGCCGCGAGUUCAAGUACUGACUGGUCACUAUCCAACUUUGGGACCACCCCAGGUCACCCCCCCACUCCCCGCAACCACCACCACCAUCCUCACUCCCAAAGUCAGAUGCAUCGUCUCAGAGCCCUCAAACUGCACUGCGGCUAAGGAUAAAGCUGGGGGGUCAGCCGUGCCAUCUGAAUCCCAAGGAGAUGGGCUAGGGCUCCCUCUGCAAGCCGGGCUUGGUCACACACACACCGAGGGAAGCGUGGCCGCGAAGGCGGGCCUGGAACGGGGUGGUGGUGUAGGGCCCAUGAAUGUGCUCCGAGAACGGGCCACUGGCGCUUUGGAGCCUGAGGCCAGCAGGACCGGGGGACCCCACAGUCAGCCCGGGUCACCCGCUUCCCAGGGCACCCGUCGCCCCCCAGGGACGUCCAGGUGCUUUCUGUCCAGGCCUGGCCUGCUCUGCUGCUGCAGGUGCAAAGUGGAGGUGCGGGCGCAGAGAGAAGGAAUGGGGUGCUGGACAAGGAGCCCGGGGGAGCCAGGGGAGAGAGACGUGAGACGCCAGCUCCCCUCCCCACGCAGCCCCUGCCCUCAGGUGUGCGUGGGGCAGGCCUUGGGAUCCUCUCCCUUUUCUCCCAGGCAGGCUGGCGGGGGCUUCCAGGAAGCCCUCCCCGCCUUCUGUUUCUUUCCGGCCUGGACUCUGCCACUCCCGCGCCUGCUGCUCCCCAUUCUCCCUGCCUCUUCCGCCCUGCAGGCUCUCAGGGGAAUCUCCCAACGGCCCCGGCCCCGGCCCCGUGGCUUCCCCAGGUCCUCACCCCAGCCCCGUGCCCAGGCGCUGUCCCCGCCCUGUCCGAGGACACCGCUCCUCUGUGUUUCUUUCAUCCUGGUCACCUCCCGGCUGAGCUCCGGGCGUCCCAUGCCUCCUCCACGCUGGCGUCUGGCGCAGCAACUGUUUGCUAAGGAACGCGUGUGA
rnacentral:lncRNA from 1 species